UACGUAGGGCGCAAGCGUUGUCCGGAAUUAUUGGGCGUAAAGAGCUCGUAGGCGGUCUGUCGCGUCGGCUGUGAAAGCCCGGGGCUCAACCCCGGGUCUGCAGUCGAUACGGGCAGGCUAGAGUGCGGUAGGGGAGACUGGAAUUCCUGGUGUAGCGGUGAAAUGCGCAGAUAUCAGGAGGAACACCGGUGGCGAAGGCGGGUCUCUGGGCCGUAACUGACGCUGAGGAGCGAAAGCCAGGGGAGCGAACGGG
rnacentral:rRNA from 1 species